GUUAAACCUCUAGUCCAACCUUUUCAUUUUGUAGUGGCCCAGAAAGGCUGUUUUAAACUUGUGAAGGUGUCAGAGCAACAUGGUUUCCUGAUUCUCAGUAAUACCCCACAAUGCCCACACUUGCUCUGGCUGUUGUCUUUGAGUCAGGAGCUGCUUUUAAAGUCAAGGUCAACUACACAGCUGCAGGAGGGGCCCUGUGCCACUCUACUUAGGAAUUCAGGCCUUGAAAUGCCAAAAGUGAUAAAAAGGGAUACAGUUCCCUUCCUUCAAAAAAUGCCAGGAUCCUUGGGCGCCUGGGUGGCUCAGUGGGUUAAAGCCUCUGCCUUCGGCUCAGGGACUGACCAGAUUUACUUUUCAUGCCACAGAACUACCACUUCAAAAGCAAAUUUGAAAAAUUUUACCAAAAUUUUACCAAAAGCAACAGGUCACACAAGUUUUAGCAAAAGGCAAAUCUAACAAGAGCACCAAGAGUGUCUACCAGACGGCAGGCAGGGAUCUUCACUUACACUACCCUGUUAAACAUUUUAAAGAUGUGCAAAAUCACGUAGGCCUUUCACAGACUGCAUGAGAAUUUAAACCAAGACAGUUUUCAUUUAAAAAUAUCAUUUAUCCUGUCAUUAUCCUUUCAACCUACUAGAGAGAACAGGACACCUGCAUGCAUACAAUUACAAACUGCUAAUCAACUGAGUUACUUCCUAUUACUUGUACUUAUUUCUAGAUUGUUUUAAAGUAGGUAAGAUACCAAAUAAAAGAAAAGAAUUAUUUUUUAGUAUUUAUCAUUUUUGCUAUUUGCCAAUAAUAAAAACUUCUAAUGAAAGCAAUCUAUUUAUAAAGGCAUUUAAAAAAAUACAAUAUGCUCAAAAAUACCCUUAAAAGUAGAUUAUAUGAAUAUAAAGGAAACUGGACAACCCAGAUUCUGGAUGGAAAUAUAUACUUUUCAAAUUAACAUGUAGGCUAAAUACAACUUCCCAAAGGGAAGUAAUAUAAAUAUGUACGGUUCUGAGACAUUAGUUAGCUAUUUGGGAAAUGAGGUGGAGAGGACUUAUUUAGAUCAUAAGAAUGCAACGAUAAAUGUUUUGAUGAAUUAAAAGGCUAAUUUCUAAAAAUAAAGCCACUAAAAACACUAGAAGAAAACAGGAAAAAAAUUCUCCUACUGACGUCUGGAAGGGAUGAAGGAUUUCCACUAUUUUAGGUUGAGAAAGCAAGCUCAAAAGAAAGGAUCAAUAGACAAAAAAUUUAAAUAUUUAUAACCCAUAUCUUAUCCCAGUUUGAUUUCCAGUGUUUUCAAUAAAGGGAUUAAUCAAUUAAUAAUGUAUCAAGGAAUCAAAAAUAAAUAAGACUCCUUUUAUUUUAUAUUUUUAAAAAGAUUUUAUUUUUUACUCAUGAGAGAGAGGGAGGGAGGGAGAAGCAGGCUCCCCACUGAGCCACUGAGCUGAGAGCCCAACACGGAACUCGAUCCCAGGACCCCAAAAUCAUGACCUGAGCUAAAGGCAGACGCUUAACCACCUAAGCCACCUAGGCGGCCUGGACAAGAAUCCUUUUAAAACAUUAAUUAAAACAUAAAAGAAUGUUCAAAAUCACUAAUAGUUUUAAAUGCAAAUUUAAGUAAAGAUGUUAUUUUUCACCCAUUACUUCAGCAAACAUUAAAGGAUCAUUCUCCAUGCUAACUAGUGUGUGGUUGAACAAGCAAUCCAAUACUGCCACUGGUAUGAAUGAAUACAACAGACAAUGAAUGAAUACAACUUGAAAAGCAACCUAAGAAGAUAUACAUGCAGUCUUCUGAAGUGUUCAAACCCUCUUUGUAGAUUCUGAGAAUCUAAAUAAAUACAAAAAGAACUUUAUGUACAAACAACAAAUUUUGGAAAAUAUUAGAAAAGUUCACCAAAAGAAUAGUAACAAAGCAGAAGUAUGUAGUAAAGGAAACCUUUUAUGCCUUCCUUGUUCAUGGCCAUGUUCAAUGCAGUGGAUACCAGAGUAUCGCAAAUUUAUAAAUUCCAACUCUGUAAGUACACUGCAAAUGAGUAUACUCAAACUAAAAGUCCUCAAAGGCCAUGAGAAACACUAAAAAUAAGGGACCUUGAGGUGAAAUGAAGGGCAAUGCAAAAAGUAAGGAAAGAAUACCAAUUAAAAGUCAAAUAUUAUAUUUUAUGUGCUCAUACAUUAAAAUUAUCACAGCAAUACUGUGAGUUACUAUCUUCCCAGGAGAGAGAGAAUGCCUGCGGUCCAGAGUGGCUGAGCGAUGUGCUGAGGGCCACAGAGCUAGUCAAAUGACAGAACUGGAACGCUAUCUGAUUCCAAAUUACAAGCUCUCCACACUACUACUCUAAAUGAAGGGAAAUGAAGGCAAUGUUUUCUACAGACACCAAGCAACAUUAGAGGUAAAAUACUUGUUUCAUAGAUCAUAGGUUUCAUCACUUCUCUUUCAAAACAUAGGUUGUUUUUGUGACUUCGUCAUGAGAGGAAACGGCAUUAAUUUUUUUUUUAAAUUAACCCAAGGAAGGAUAAAAUUAGUUUGAAAGAUUUACUUUCCAAGUCCUUUCAAAAAGCUCUAUCAUCCCCAAUAGUAGGUACAGACUGUACAAUUCUAGAAUUCCCAUGGUGUGCCAAAACUCUAGGAGACAAUAAAAAAAAAUGUUCGUUGAAUGAAUGAACGAAUACUAAUUCAAAACAGAACAAGAAAUUCCAGAUCUCCCUAUAAGUACAAGAGACCUACAACAACAAUCUACAACAACAAACUUCUGAAAUACCAGCAGACUACUAAUUGCAUAUUCAAA
ensembl:lincRNA